rnacentral:tRNA from 2 species
GCCUGGUUAGUUAAAUGGAUAUAACGUAAUCCUCCUAAGAUUAAAUUAUGAGUUCGAGUCUCGUACCGGGUGCCA